GCACCGGUGGUGUACGGUACACACGUCGCUUCGAUAUGCGGAUUGUCAAUCGAUUAUUACGACAAGCUGGGGUUCGAAUCCCCGCCGGUGCA